rnacentral:rRNA from 1 species
GAUGAACGCUGGCGGCGUGCCUAAUACAUGCAAGUCGAGCGAACGGACGAGAAGCUUGCUUCUCUGAUGUUAGCGGCGGACGGGUGAGUAACACGUGGAUAACCUACCUAUAAGACUGGGAUAACUUCGGGAAACCGGAGCUAAUACCGGAUAAUAUUUUGAACCGCAUGGUUCAAAAGUGAAAGACGGUCUUUCUGUCACUUAUAGAUGGAUCCGCGCUGCAUUAGCUAGUUGGUAAGGUAACGGCUUACCAAGGCAACGAUGCAUAGCCGACCUGAGAGGGUGAUCGGCCACACUGGAACUGAGACACGGUCCAGACACCUACGGGAGGCAGCAGUAGGGAAUCUUCCGCAAUGGGCGAAAGCCUGACGGAGCAACGCCGCGUGAGUGAUGAAGGUCUUCGGAUCGUAAAACUCUGUUAUUAGGGAAGAACAUAUGUGUAAGUAACUGUGCACAUCUUGACGGUACCUAAUCAGAAAGCCACAGCUAACUACGUG